AUAAAGAUAAACGGAACAGCAGAGUAUAAAACAGGUUAAUCUCAGAGAGUUUCUGGUUAGUGCGAAGAAAUGAUAACGGUUUUAGAAGAUGGGCUGGGAGUUAUUCUUACUAGUUAUGGUAGGAACGGGAUGGAUGCCGAUAUUAAAUCCGGUGAGAUCCAGUUUGAUGCUGGGAACUAAGGUGGUAACGCGAGAGCACUCGUCCUUUAU
rnacentral:ncRNA from 1 species